UAAGGAAUAUUGCGCAAUGGGCGAAAGCAUGACGCAGCGACGCCGCGUGGGGGAUGAAGGUCUUCGGAUUGUAAACCCCUUUCGGCAGGGAAGAUGGAGCGGGCAACCGCUCGGACGGUACCUGCAGAAGCAGCCACGGCUCACUUCGUGCCAGCAGCCGCGGUAAUACGAAGGUGGCAAGCGUUGUUCGGAUUUACUGGGCGUACAGGGAGCGUAGGCGGUUGGGUAAGCCCUCCGUGAAAUCUCCGGGCCUAACCCGGAAAGUGCGGAGGGGACUGCUCAGCUAGAGGAUGGGAGAGGAGCGCGGAAUUCCCGGUGUAGCGGUGAAAUGCGUAGAGAUCGGGAGGAAGGCCGGUGGCGAAGGCGGCGCUCUGGAACAUUUCUGACGCUGAGGCUCGAAAGCGUGGGGAGCAA
rnacentral:rRNA from 1 species